rnacentral:rRNA from 1 species
GACGGAGGGUGCAAGCGUUGUUCGGAAUCACUGGGCGUAAAGCGCGUGUAGGCGGUUUGGUAAGUCGAGUGUGAAAGCCCAAGGCUCAACCUUGGAAGUGAACUCGAAACUGUCAGGCUUGAGUACGGGAGAGGGAAGUGGAAUUCCUGGUGUAGAGGUGAAAUUCGUAGAUAUCAGGAGGAACACCGGUGGCGAAGGCGGCUUCCUGGACCGAUACUGACGCUGAGACGCGAAAGCGUGGGGAGCAAACAGG